CAGCCGCCGCGGUAAUUCGUAGGGUGCAAGCGUUAAUCGGAAUUACUGGGCGUAAAGCGUGCGCAGGCGGUUGUGCAAGACAGAUGUGAAAUCCCUGGGCUCAACCUAGGAAUUGCAUUUGUGACUGCACGGCUAGAGUGUGUCAGAGGGGGGUAGAAUUCCACGUGUAGCAGUGAAAUGCGUAGAUAUGUGGAGGAAUACCGAUGGCGAAGGCAGCCCCCUGGGAUAACACUGACGCUCAUGCACGAAAGCGUGGGGAGCAAACAGGAUUAGAUACCCUGGUAGUCCACGCCCUAAACGAUGUCUACUAGUUGUCGGGUCUUAAUUGACUUGGUAACGCAGCUAACGCGUGAAGUAGACCGCCUGGGGAGUACGGUCGCAAGAUUAAAACUCAAAUGAAUUGACGG
rnacentral:rRNA from 1 species